ACAGAAGAAGACACCGGCUAACUCCGUGCCAGCAGCCGCGGUAAUACGGAGGGUGCGAGCGUUAAUCGGAAUUACUGGGCGUAAAGCGCAUGCAGGCGGCCGCGUUAAGUCAGAUGUGAAAGACCCGGGGCGUUAACCUCGGAAAUUGCAUUUGUAAACUAGGCAGGCUAGAGUCUUGUAGAGGGGGGUAGGAAGUUUCAGGUGUAGCGGUGAAAUAGCGUAGAGAUCUGAAGGAAUACCAGUGGCGAAGGCGGCCCCCUCGGACAAAGACUGACGCUCAGAUGCGAAAGCGUGGGGAGCAAACAGGAUUAGAUACCCUGGUAG
rnacentral:rRNA from 1 species